AGCAGCCGCGGUAAUUCCAGCUCCAAUAGCGUAUAUUAAAGUUGUUGCAGUUAAAAAGCUCGUAGUUGAAUUUCGGGGUUAGUAGGCUGGUCGUGCCACUGGUACGUACUGGUCUCACUGACUCCUCCUUCCUGAUGAACUGUAAUGCCAUUAAUUUGGUGUUGCAGGGAAACUGGACUGUUACUUUGAAAAAUUAGAGUGUUUAAAGCAGGCUAACGCUUGAAUACAUUAGCAUGGAAUAAUGAAAUAGGACGUUCGAUCUUAUUUUGUUGGUUUCUAGGAUUGACGUAAUGAUUAAUAGGGAUAGUU
rnacentral:rRNA from 1 species